rnacentral:lncRNA from 1 species
CAACAGAGAUUCAGACAAUGGUACAUUGGUGCAGGACACCAAGACUAAGAUUGAGAAGAAAAGGUGAACAAUUUAACCAUAUCACUUGCCUUUAAAUGAGCUUACAGAAAGAGGCUGAGAUUGGGUAAACUUGGACUCGCAUUUUCUGAUAGGAACAUUACAAUGCUUUACAUUUUUGUCAGUAGUUUAUUAUAUUUGGUACAAAAACUCACCACUUUGACUAUGGUUGUGUUUUUUCUCCCAUGUGUGAACUCAUCAGUUGGUUGACCAAUUACUCAGGGAAAGUCAUAUAGUUGGCAUUUCUGACUUGUUCUACUCUGUUGUUUAGAAUGAGAUUUUGAUGACCUCUUCUUUUUGUCACUGCAUUGCAAGACAAGUCACGCAGAAUAGAAAUUGCCAUGCCAAUAUACUCGUAUGUGAUUCAUAGGAUGCAUGUUCUUAUCUUAUCUUUCUGUCUAUGAAUUAAGACAGAAAUUGCCAUGCCAAUAUCCUCAUAUGGGCUGAUUUUCAUUAGUUAACCUGUGCAGCUGUUCAUUGUUGAUUCUCCAACAAACCUUUUUGAAUAUUCAGAAUUUCAUGCAUAUAAUCAGUCAAAUCUCAGUUUUUCAUCUUCUUAUUUUUUAUCUUUUUCACUACAAUUUCUUUACCUUUGUUUUCAUUAAUCCUAUCUAAUUUUGCCUUUUACAAAUUUACCUUUUGCAGAUGGUGAGUUGGAGACCACGAAGAACCAACUUCUUACAGCACGUGAGUUUCAGUGUUUGUAUCAUUAACUUUUUGCUUCCUAGAUGGUUCUCAGUAUCCUCUCCCGUCCAUUCAUUUCGGAGGUGGCUAGAGCAUGUUGUUCGUUUGGG